AAAUCCUCCCGGGUAUUGCCUCAGCCGAGUCCUGGCAGAGGCCACGCGGAAAAGAAUUCACUCUGAAAGCUGAGCUUGUUCUCCUGAAGGGGUGAAGCAGGCUGAAGAGAAGGGAUGAGAGAGUUCCCCCACCCCACCUCCACUCCUUCACAAGUCCUCUCUUGGAAACUACGUUUCCCCUUCCUGGGAUGACCUCUGUCCUUAAUAAAAUGGGAGAAACAGAACAUCGAGACUUGUUUCCUUCUCAAAUGAAAAGACUGCACGCACUGAAGUGCAUUUUAAAUGCUGUUUGGCAAGUGCGGAGUGGUUGGGGGAGGGGAGGAGGCUGACUUGCUUUUUCUUUGCUGGAUAUCUGGGAACCGAGCCCAUCCGCACUUUCUCCAUGAAACUUGAAGGGCAAUGUAUCAUUGUGGGAGAGAUACUGCAGUUUUUCCAAACAGAAACCUAGCCCUUCUUAGGGUCGGCUUCAUUUACAAGGUAACAGAGAGAGAGACUGAAAUUUGUCUCUGCCUGGAAACAACGCGAUGAGAGCAGAGGGUUAGAACAUUUGACCAGGACAGCCCAGGGAGAGAGGGAUGGGAAGCAGAAGUUCACUGGUGAGGUCACUGUAGCAGCCCAGAUGGAGGUAUUUUAAAUGAAGAAGACAAACCUAACUUUCAACGAACUAGGAGGGGAAAAAAUCCUAGAAUCGAAUUCCUCUUUGCUCUGGAAAACAAAUCGCCUCCCUUUGGGUUUUAGAAGGACCAUCUGGCAAGUGAAUUGGCCUCUCCGCUUUCCAUCGAAGGAGCCAGGAGAAACGCUGUCUGCACGCCCCUGGCCUGGCCUUGGAGGAGUGCUUUUGAUCUGAUGGCCUUGCAGGAGGCAUGCCACCUACCUCUGCUGCCUUUCUGUUUGAAGGGCUGUGAGUUUCCCUUUCUGUCCUCCAGGAAGAAUUUAUGAUUUCCUCUCUGUCCUCUUAGUCCCUGAAUGCAAGAGAUAGCUCCCCUCACUCACUGCAGAUGCUGCGGGGUAUCAUUUAAAGUCUGCUGACAUGAAACACCCUGCCAUGAGAUCAACUCAGCAGACCAAGGGAAGGCUGGGGAUCGUGGUGGCCAAGGGAUGUUCAGACACACCCACCAACAGCACAAUCAGCCCCUUUAUUGUACGGAAGAAGAGGUAGCAAACCAGCCAGAAGAAAGCCACUUUGUUUAACAUUCCAAAGGCGUUCCCAGUGUCUCCCAGAGUCCUCAUUAAUUACCUGGAGAAUUACCAAUGCGUUCUCGGAUCCCAUGAGAGACUCCUUCCACUGCAAUUCGCCAAGCCUUGUGACACUGGGAUGAUGAAAUAGGCGCACUUGAUGAGGAGAGAAGAGGAAACGGAGUCCGGGCACAGAGUCAGAAGGCCUUGGCUUGGGAGAUUUCUGAAUCACGGACACGGCCUGCCCUCUCAUAAGUAGAGGCAAAAGAUGUCAGGGUUGUUGGCAGAUCUGGGCACGGAGCUUUGGGGUGGCAAUAAUAACGAUUUUCAGGGCACGGGGAGUUGGCGAGGGAGGGCUGUUAGGUGAGUGGAGGAGUGAGGGUCCUGGACCAGGCAGGGCCGAGCACAGGCCAGGGAAGGAGGACUGUGAGUACCGGCUGUUUCUUUAGAUUUGGAACCAGAAAGUGCUGGCAUUAAAGCUAGAACAACAGAAUCACAGGAAAGGAUCUUAGAGGUUACAUAAUGCUGGCAUUUUAAAACCAGGUUCCCUGGAGUUCUAAAGAUUCUAUGUGAAGGCGUUUCGGGGACUGCUGUUCAGUGUUUGGUAAAAGGGGAUGGGGGGCUGGUCCUUCAUCCCCAUUUUAACAUCAGUUUGUAUCUAUUUUAGACAUUGGGAUUCUGAAUAUGAUUUAUUUCUGGAAAGGGUUUUGUACUUAAAAAUUACUGUUCCUUUCCAACCUCUUCAUUUGACAGCUCAGAAAAGGAAGCUGACUUUGUAGAGACGUACAGCCAGCAUGUGACAUCACACUGUGAUGUUCACCCCCCUGAGUGUGGUGGCAUCAUGGUACUAUAGAUCAAACAGGCCCGGAAACGCCAGGCUACAUUCUUUUCCCUCAGAGUGGCCCAUUUAUUUUGCUCCUAUUCUCCAGUUCUAACCCCACCAAAACCCAAACCAGCGCUCAGAUUUAUAAUAUUCCAUGUGCACCAUGGUCUGGAAAGAGGACUGGCCCAAAAGUGUGGUGAACAAGGUUGCCUGUGUGGUGUGACGUGUGUAGGCCUCAGCCAACCCCCAAUAACUUCCCAUCUAACUAGAAUUCCCACCACCGGUUAGGCCAGCAGUUUUCAAGUAAACUCAGGUGGCAGUGUGCCUGUGGAACACCACGAAUUGUUGACUGACUGAAUUCCAUCCUACAAAUGAGCAGCGACUUUACCAGCAGGAAAGCUAGCUGUGUUAGAAGCACAUAGUACAACAUCGUGGUCACACACGCUGCGUGAGUCAUUAAGACUGGUCCCACAUGUUCUGGUUCUCCGUCUAGGCACACAGUGGGCUUGUACUUCUCCAUUGCCUUUCACAGCCAUGGCCAUAUGACAUGUUUUGGCCGAAUAAAUGUGCGUGGAAGCUUUUGAAGUCAGUGGGUGAUUCUCGUCAUUCUCUUCCCCGUGGUGCAGUCUCUGCCGAAGUCCACUUUGAGACGGAGCCUCUGUUUGCCAGAGUCCUGGGGUUGCUACGAUGAGGAGAGCUCUCCAACCUACAUCAAACAUGGUGUGAACAAGAAAUACAUCUUUGUUUGUUAAACCAUUAGGAUUUUGGAGUUUUGUUACCAUAGCAAAACCUAGCUUAUCCUAACUGAUAUAGCCACUUAUCAAAAAUAAACCAAUUAACUGUGAAA
rnacentral:lncRNA from 1 species